GCGGAUGGCUGGAUGACCGCGGGGUGCAAGCCUCGAGGAAAGUCCGGACUCCAUGAAGACAGGGUGCCGGGUAAUGCCCGGCGGGGGUAACCUCAGGGAAAGCGCCACAGAGAAGAGACUGCUCUUGUCCGCAAGAGUGAUGGUGAAACGGUGGGGUAAGAGCCCACCACGGACUUGGCAACAAGGACGGUAUGGCAAGCCCCACCCGGAGCAAUGCCGAAUAGGGGCCUCACGCCGUAAGGUCCGCGCUUAGCGGAGACCACGGCAGGGAACUUCAGCCCAGAGGUCCGGGUUGGCAGCUUGACCGCUCUGGUAACAGAUGCGGCAGAGGAAUGGUCAUCCAGAGGGCGCAAGCCCUUGGACAAAAUCCGGCUUACAGGCCAUCCGCGCAU
rnacentral:RNase_P_RNA from 1 species